rnacentral:rRNA from 1 species
CGGCAAAAGCUCAAAUUUGAAAUCGGCCACCAGGUCGAGUUGUAAUUUGUAGAUUGUAUCUUGAGAGCGGAUUAAAGUCUGUUGGAACACAGCGCCUUAGAGGGUGACAGCCC